rnacentral:rRNA from 1 species
AUGGCUUCAUCCGGUUCCAGGACGAGGCCGGCGUGCGCGGACCAAGAGGACAUGCCGAAGACGUGGAUGGAGGCCAGGUUAGAGAAGGAGAAGGAGAAGGAUGUGCCCACACCACCAUGUUGGUGUGGUGAUGUUUGCAAGCUGAAGGUGUCCACGGACCGCAAGAAGUCAUGGACAGAAGUCGCCUCCUCCACUUUGCAAGUACUUCACUUGGAUAGAUCACGAGGUACCAAAAGAUGUCCAAGAGGACCAACAUCGAGAUUGCUUACGGAGGCAGCGCCUAUUCGAGGAGUCCUUUGCAUGGGGAUUGGAGCAUGA